CGAUUGGCAGAGAGAAUCUAACAUAUACACAGAGGAGAUGGAGCAUAAAAUUGGGCGGACUGAUGCAGAGCACUAAAUGUAGAGAAAUGCGCAAUUAUCGUGGGACUCGCCCAGAGAAGACAGUCUCGGGAGUGGAAGGCGAUCCCGUGUCUGCCAGAGGAAAGCUAACGACUGGACUGGAAGUUCCUGCGACCGCCUGAGUGUCCCCGAGCUGCGACUCUCCUCGCGACGUCUGUGCAGAAGGCGCGUUCUCCGGACAGUGGGGAAACAGAGGCACAGCCUGCGCACGGAGUAAAGGAAAACUCUCAAGAAAACUUCUCCCCAGAAUCUGCGACAUGAGUUCCAGUCCUGGACACUUGACUUUCCCCCUCAGUUCUGCCUCUGCACAUGUCCACUUACUUAACAAUCAUUUGUCCUUGAUCUUUGCGCACAUGGCCGGGCCUCUAGCCUCCGUUAGCCCCGCCUACUAUUUGCCCCUUUCUUUAAUUUGUCUUGUAUGUUAGUGCUGGGUCAGCAAGUCUUUUGUGCUGUGGUCCAGGGCCAGUGUAUGUAUGUCUGUGUGUGUAUGUGUCUGUGUGUGGUGUUAUUUUCCUUUUGUUAUCCCCCCCCCAACACUACAGAAAUGAAACACACAUGCAGCUCUGUCGCCUCAUAUUUUCAGAUGUUUUUCACACUAUUGUCUGCUCCAAGCCGCUGAAAGUGCAAAGUGAAAACAGAUGCAUCUGAAAAAAAAAUUUUGAAAGGGGACAAUCCUAGAACGGGUACUAACCCCUCAAAUAAAGAUAAGCAAUAAAUAUAAUAUCAGAUUUAUAACGUGCAUCGAGUAGUCUUGAUUAGCACCAAGGUGAGCUUUGGUGAGAGUUUUAUCAUUUCCAUGUGUCUGGACUACAAGAAGAAAUCAAUGAAGGAAGAGCUCUAUAAAUCAGCAUUGAUGUCAAGACAAAUCAAAAUAAUGCCUCUAUUAUUUCAAUCAAUAAACCAUUUUUAUUCCCAACAUCUGUAAUACACAGUGUGUGUCCGUCUGUUUGUAUUUGGAAUUGGCAGCUUCUACUUAUACCAAAACAAACCUUUCAAA